GCCGUACCACGGGGUGCCCAGCCAGCCUGCCGGCCCCUUCUGCAGGGGACACUGAGACCCUGCCGCAGCCUGGCGGCUAGCAGAGGCCAGACUGUCCUUGUAGCUCCUGGGUGCCUUUUGCCCUGCACACAGCUUGCACUCCUGGGGACAACUCAGCCAAGCCCAGCACCACACAUGUGCCCUUGCCUGCCUGUCCCUAGCCUUGGCCCAACGUGGAGGUGGGAAGAUGCGGGGAGUAUGCUGUGUGCAUACUCAUCAGCCCAGCCUGGAUUUUCCCACCCCUAAAACAGCUCUUGCAGAUAGCAGAAGGUGGAAGGCGCGACCUCGAGUCCUUUCAGGGGAGCGGGAAGCCUGUUCUUUUUAAGACUUAUUUAUUUAUUUGAAAGGCAGUGUUACAGAGAGGAAGAGACAGAGAGAUUGAGGUCUUCCAUCCGCUGGUUCACUGCCCAGAUGGUCGCAAUGGCUGGAGAUGAGAUGAUCCAAAGCCAGGAGCCAGGAGCUUCUUCCGGGUCUCCCAUGCGGGUGCAGGGGCCCAAGGACCUGGGCCAUCUUCCACUGCUUUCCUAGGCCACAGCAGAGAGCUGGAUUGGAAGAGCAGCCAGGACUAGAACCAGAGUCCAUAUGGGAUGCCGAUACUGUAGGCGGCGGCUUCACCCACUAUGCCAGAGCGCUGGCCCUUCACGCUGCUUUUAUUCUUGGCUCUGCCUUUAUCCUGUCAGUGCAUAUUUUAACUCACCCACAUGUCUACUCAUUGCUUCUCUCACCAUCCUAUUUUUUUAUUUUUAUUUUAUUUUUUAUUUUUUAAAGAUUUAUUUAUUUAUUUGAAAGAGUUACACAGAGAGAGGAGAGGCAGAGAGAGAGAGAGGCCCUCCAUCCACUGGUUCACUCCCCAGUUGGCCGCAACGGCCGGAGCUGCGCCAAUCCAAAGCCAGGAGCCAGGAACUUCUUCUGGGUCUCCCAUGUGGUGCAGGGGCCCAAGGACGUGGGCCAACCUCCACUGCUUUCCCAGGCCACAGCAGAGAGCUGGAUUGGAAGUGGAGCAGCCAGGGCUAGAACCGGUACCCAUGUGGGAUGCCAGCACUUCAAACCAGGGCAUUAACCCACUGUGCCACAGCGCCAGCCCCACCAGCCUAUUCUUAAAAAAAAAAAAGGUUUAUUUUGAAAGGGAGAGAGAGGGAGAGACAAAGAAACAAAGAGAGAUUUUCCAUCGACUGGUUCACUCCCCAAAUAGCUGGGCCAAGGCGAAGCCGGGAGCUUUUUCUGAGUCUCCCACAUGGGUGCAGGGGCCCAAACACUUGGGCCAUCUUCCACUGCUUUCCCAGGUGCAUUAGCAGGGAGCUGGAUUGGAAGUGGAGCAACCAGGACUGCAACAGCACCCUUUUGGGAGGCUGGAUUUGUAGGCAGCAGCUUGGCUUCACUGGCUAUGUCACACCGCCAGCCCCUUCUCUAUCAUAUCCUUACAUAUCAUUUAUUUCUUUUUUAAAUAAAAAUAUUUACUUAUUUGAAAGGCAGAGCUACAGAGAAGGCAGAGAGAGACAGAGAGAGGUCUUCCAUCCGCUGGUUCACUCCCCAAUUGGCCGCAACGGCCAGAGCUGUACUGAUCCGAAGCCAGGAGCCAGGAGCUUCUUCCUGGUCUCCCCCGUGGGUACAGGGGCCCAAGCACUUGGGCCAUCUUCCACUGCCUUUCCAGGCCAUAGCAGAGAGCUGGGUCGGAAGUGGAGCAGCCAGGACUCGAAGUGGCACCCAUGUGGGAUGCCACUGCAGACCGGCGCUUUAACCUGCUGCGCCACAGCGCCAGCGUCCUCGUUUCUUUCUUCUGUGUUCAGUUCCUUUAUUCCAGGUAGACAUCUCUUUCAGCAAGGAUUUCAUCUUCGGAAAUUCUCGAUUGUUGUCCAAAAAUAUCUAUUUCAUCACUCUUUCCGGGCUAAAGUUUAGUUGGCUGUGCGAAUCUAGGUGGACAGUUAUUUUCUCCCAGUCCUUUUGACGAUAUGCAUUGUCUUCUGGCUCCUCUGGAGCUGUGAGUGUAGUGGUGCCUGCAUAGUGACCUGCAGUUUCUCUCUGGGUGCUUUCGGAAUUUUCUGUUACUCUUCGCCACUGUGCAGUGUCGCUACCAUGUGCUCGGGUGUGGGCUUCGGUUUAUCCGUCUUGAGACUGGUUCUAUGUCCUUUGAACACGUGUGAAUUCAGGCCUCUCCAGGCUAGAAUAUUUUCAGCCAUUAGCCUAUAGAAAUAUCACCUGAGCCUCCUUUUACUCUCUUCCAGAACCCCUGCUAGCCCUUUGCUAACCUUCAGUUUUUCUCCGUCGCCCCCUCCAUCUGUCCCGUCUCGUGCUACCUGUUCUGCCCCCUGAGAGAGUUCCUCAGAUCUCUUCCUGCUCACCAGGUCACCAGGUCAGCAAUUUUCCCUUCAGGCAUGUCUGCUUUGAAGACUUUUUACAUUUCAGGUACUGUUGGAUUCCAUUUCAAACAAAAGUCUGAAAGGAGAAAUUUUCUUUUUCAAAUACAAAUUCCACACCGUUUUUGUAAGUCUCUUCUGUCUGUGUCUCUUCAAACAAUCCUUUGAUGCUGGAUGCCUGCUGUUUUUAAAGCUGUAUUUAUUUAUUGGAAAGGCAGAGCAACACAGAGAACUCACCCAUCCACUGGUUCACUCCCCACAUGGCUGCAACACCCGGGGCUGUGCCGGGCCGAGCCAAAGCCAGGAGCCCAGAACUGCAUCUGGGUCUCCCACGUGGCUGGCUGGGGCCCAAGCACUUGAGCUCGCAACUGCUUCCUUCCCAGGUACAGUAACAGGAAGCUUGAUGGGAAGCAGAGCAGCCAGGAUGCCGACCCGCACUCUGAUACAGCCGUGAGCAUCCUGAGCGGUGGCUCCGCACCGCACUACAGCAGCCGCUCCUGGGUACCCCAUAAGUCAUGCGUAUUCCCCAACUCUCUCGAGCAGUUUGGUUCUCGGGAGUUCUUGGGCAUCUGAUGCGCCUUUCUCCUCCGAUUUUACUCAUGGGGAACCGGUUCCUUGUAGGCUCUGCAGCAGGACUUCCAUGAGGAUCCGUGUGGCCUCCAUGGAGGGUAUAAUUCCCUGGUGCCUGUUCACUUUGUUUGUGCCAAGCACUCCAGGGGUAAUUAACCAGGUGCAGGCCGUGUUCAUGUCCAGUUCCCAGCUUGCGCAGUGGGGAGGUGGUUCCUGAGCGUGGAGGUAGUAUUCAUUUGAGCCCCGGACACGUAAUUACAGAUUCGUAGGCUGACCUUUUGUUCUAUGCACCCAGAACCCCAGCUAAGAGACCGAAGCUCCUGGUCCUCUGUCUGUCUCUGGGGGGAGGGGGUGUCUAAGCCAGCACCCUGAUGUUCUUCCAGCACAGCUCUGCGUUAGAGGGACCUCAAGUUUGUGCAGUUGGUGGUGGUCAGAGGGUCUUCAGUCAUCGAUGUGUUGCUACAGCCUGACUCAUUUCACAAACAGAAGUCUCUCUGCUUCUCUCCCUAUUUGUGAUUUCACCCUGGGCUGCCAUACCCUCGCUGUCUGUGUCCCUCUCUGGGCGGCACCCAAGAGGAAGACUGUGGUCUGGAGCAUGCUGUUACUUCCACCACGUAGGCCCCCGUGUCAAGGUGGUCUUGGUUCCGGCACAAGUGCCAAAGUCUACGGUUACAGAGCGUGCGGACCAACCCGCAGCUGCAGCCACUUUGUCCGUGGCUAGGCCUGGACACAGCACGGCCUGUCUAGUCCCCCUGAAGGCCAGAGACGUUUUGGAGCCUCUGCUGCGUGAGGCUUUGUAGGCCAUUCAAAGAAAUAGGAGCUUCUGACCCCACCCUCGUGGCCCUUACAUCUGGUUAUCUUUGCAAGAUGGACAAAGCGCCCAUCUCCCUUGCCCGGGCUGUUUUCUGGCUUGCUGGCCUCCUUGUUAUUCCCCCAAAUACCAGGCAUGCUUCUGCCUCGGGGCCUUUGCAUGUGCUGCUGGCGCUGCCAGGAACGCUCUUUCCUCUUCCACCCCAGGCACAGCGCCUCCCUUUGACAGAGAGAGCUUUGCUCCCAGGCCCUCUAGGUGUGGCCUGCUGCCUUCCUGCCUGCCUUUUCCCUUUCUCUGCCUUACCGCCCUCCCAAGUGCCGACAUCCUGCCUGUGUCGCGGCAUCCUGUCUGUGUGACGUCUGUGUCUGGUUUCUCUAUCUCUCCCCGACUUUAGACUGUGGAGAGCUGGUUGAGGGCAAGGCUUUUUGUCUGCUGAGGCUGCUGGGAGGAGGCAGGCAGGAUUGACACCAGCCUUGUUCUGCUGGCCGGCGAGCCUGCAGGGCCUGGGACGAGGGCGGGGCCUGGAGUUCCCACUCCAGCCCAGCAGCCUUUCCCUGUCACUUGGGGGGCCUUCGCUACCUGCCGACAGAGGACAGUUAGUUCUGUCUUCUGAAUGGUGCAGGCUCUUGCCCGGAUGCCCUGGGAAUCCUGCGGACUCCUUGCUUUGUCCCUAGUUACCUACCGUCCAGCUCUCAAGGCAUCCAGAGGGGAUGACCAGUGUCCCCCGUGCCUGUUGGGAAAAAAGGCCGAGGACCUUGGACUUUCAGGAGCAAAGCCCCCUGUCUCCUUCCAGCCUGAUUCAUUGGCCGGGUUUCCCACACAGGGCCCCAGAAGGCACCACAAGGCACCCUGUCCAUCCAUCCUGUCCCCUGUCUUCCCCACACUAUCUGAGUUGACUCCCUGCUGUUCUCCCCACCCUACUCUUGCCGUUAAGCCCGAGGCCCCCACCCCAGGACCCCAUUUGCCCCUGGAUCAUGAACCCUCUCUACUGCCACCCUUGGGCCUCAGUAGUGGGUGCUAUUCGCUACCCACAUUCCAGAACCAUCAGAGUCAGCCUCCUCUUUGCUCUCCUCUGCCAUUUCCAGGGAGAUUCCUUGUGUUAAAAUCUUGCUUCUCUGGGAAGUUCCAAGGGUCAAGGGAGUCAAGGUCAUUGACAAGAAAGGCUGAUAGACAUGACCAUGGGGGUCUAGACUUCAACAGCAAAUCAGGUUAAGGAGCAGCUCCUGGGAGAGAAAACAGGAUGACUGUGGCAUGGAGGUCAGAAAAUCCCCUUUCCAAAGGCAAACAGCUCUGGUGUCAGACGAUGAAGUCCAGGCCAAGCCAGGAGGGCUGACCUCACCAGCACGUGACAGAGGGCACGGGUGUUCUAGGCAGAAGGAGCCAGUUGGUGCGUUUUCUGUUUUUGUUUUGUUUUGUUUUAGUGUAGAUUUUUACUUCAGGUACAGUGGAGAGCUGUAGGAACAGGGAUGGAAGUUUUAUUUGUUGGUUGGUUUUAAAUUAACGGCUAACCAUUGCCUAUGUGCCUACAGUGUACACUGUGAUUAUCUGAUGCGCAUAUACUGUGUAAGUGAUCAAAUCAGGUAACUAGCAUUUCCAUCUCCUUAAGCACUUACCAUUUCUCUGUGUUGGGGGCUCUGGAAGUCCUCUCGUCUAGUUGUAAUAGGAGCUAUCUACUAAAUCGUUCGGAACUCCCGGUGCCCUGUCGUGCUGGGCGGCAUUGGGGCCUCCUCCUCCCUUUAGCCCCCACCCCCAGCCUUCCUAGCUGCUGCUGACCUCCAGGGCGCCAGCUCUUCUGAGUUCCACAUAUGGGCAAAAUCACGGAGUACUUGUCUUUCUGUGCCUGCCUUACUUCACUUAACAUAAUGGCCUCGAGUUCUAGCCACGUUGCCACAAAUGACAGGAUUCCAUUCUUUUUUAGUGGCUCAUUUUUCACAUACCAUGCACUCCAGCCUUUUGUGCCUGUGAUUCAGCAGUUUUUUAUAUAUUCCGAGUUCUGCCGCCUUCCCCACCAAGUCCAGAACCUUUUUAUUGCCUAAAAGAAACCCAAGACCCGUUAGCAGCUACCCCCGGUUCCUCCCCUGCCCAGCCCUGACAACUACGGACUUCUUUUCUGUCUCCAUGGGUGGGCCUGUCCUGCACAUGUCGUAUCAGUGGAAUCAUGUGACAUGAGGUCUGUUCUGUCUGGCUUCUGCCCCCGAGCACGGGGGUUUCAAGGUUCAUCCAUAUUUUAAGAUGAAUCAUUUCUUUCCUUUUUAUGGCUGAAUGAUAUUCCAUUCAUCCAUUGAUGGAUGUUUGGGCUGUUUGCCCCGUUCGGGCUACUGUGAACAUCCCCACACAAGCUUCUGUAGACACACGUGCCUGCCUCUGCUGCAUAUCCAGCUUGCUGUGGGAUCCCUGGUUCCUGUGGUCCUAGCAGGUGGGAGGAAGCAUCGUGUGGUUUUCAUUUGCACUUCCCUAAUGACAGAUCAUGCGGCACAUCUUUCCAUAAGCUAGGGCAUUUACCUAUCUUCUUUGGCCAAAUGUCUAUUCAGAUAUUUUUCCUAUUGUUGCUUUCAUUUGGUUGCUUUAUAUGUUUGACAGAGAGAAGGAGAGAGAGCGCGCACACUCUUAUCCACUGGUUUACAAACCAGGAGCCAGGAACACAAUCCGCGUCUCCUAUCACUGAGCCAUCCCUGCUGCUGCAGGGUCUGUGCUAGCAGAGUGGAGUUGAAGCUGCAGCCUCGAAUCAAAUCCAGGCACUCUGAUGUGGGACACAAGCACUUUAAGCAGAAGGCUAAACACCCACUAGCUUGCCUGUUGUUUACUGGGGUUGUUUGUUGUUAAGUUGUAAACGUUCCUUAUUUAUUCUGAAUAUUACAGCCUUAUCACAUAGGUGCUUUCCAAAUAUUUUCCCCUGGUCUGUAUGUUCCUUUGUUAUGUCCUCGCUGGCGUCCUUUGGUACACAACGAUGUUUAGUUCAGUGAGGAUCAGUUGGUUCUUUUGUUCCUUGUGAUUUCAGUGUCAUAGUUCAGAAACCAUUGCCAUACCUAAGGUUAUAAAGCGUCACCC